rnacentral:rRNA from 1 species
UGGGGAAUAUUGCACAAUGGGCGCAAGCCUGAUGCAGCCAUGCCGCGUGUGUGAAGAAGGCCUUCGGGUUGUAAAGCACUUUCAGCGGGGAGGAAGGCGGUGAGGUUAAUAACCUCAUCGAUUGACGUUACCCGCAGAAGAAGCACCGGCUAACUCCGUGCCAGCAGCCGCGGUAAUACGGAGGGUGCAAGCGUUAAUCGGAAUUACUGGGCGUAAAGCGCACGCAGGCGGUCUGUCAAGUCGGAUGUGAAAUCCCCGGGCUCAACCUGGGAACUGCAUUCGAAACUGGCAGGCUAGAGUCUUGUAGAGGGGGGUAGAAUUCCAGGUGUAGCGGUGAAAUGCGUAGAGAUCUGGAGGAAUACCGGUGGCGAAGGCGGCCCCCUGGACAAAGACUGACGCUCAGGUGCGAAAGCGUGGGAGCAAACAGG